GGAUAUGUGGUGCCUGUCAUAAGCUCCAGAGAGCUGCCUUCCACAAGACCAGCAGAAGAGUGGGCAAACAUGAAAUCCAAUCCUGCUAUCCAGGCUGCCAUUGACCUCACAGCGGGGGCUGCAGGAGGUACAGCAUGUGUACUGACCGGGCAGCCCUUUGACACAAUGAAAGUGAAGAUGCAGACGUUCCCUGACCUGUACCGGGGCCUCACCGACUGCUGCCUGAAGACUUACUCCCAGUGAUCUGCAGAAUGCAGCCGCCGGUUCCUUCGCCUCUGCCUUUGCUGCACUGGUGCUCUGCCCCACGGAGCUCGUGAAGUGCCGGCUGCAGACCAUGUAUGAGAUGGAGACAUCAGGGAAGAUAGCCAAGAGCCAGAAUACAGUGUGGUCUGUCAUCAAAAGUAUUCUUAGGAAAGAUGGCCCCUUGGGGUUCUACCAUGGACUCUCAAGCACUUUACUUCGAGAAGUACCAGGCUAUUUCUUCUUCUUCGGUGGCUAUGAACUGAGCCGG
rnacentral:lncRNA from 1 species